AGUGAACGCUGGCGGUAGGCCUAACACAUGCAAGUCGAACGGCAGCACAGUAAGAGCUUGCUCUUACGGGUGGCGAGUGGCGGACGGGUGAGGAAUACAUCGGAAUCUACUUUUUCGUGGGGGAUAAAGUAGGGAAACUUACGCUAAUACCGCAUACGACCUACGGGUGAAAGCAGGGGAUCUUCGGACCUUGCGCGAUUGAAUGAGCCGAUGUCGGAUUAGCUAGUUGGCGGGGUAAAGGCCCACCAAGGCGACGAUCCGUAGCUGGUCUGAGAGGAUGAUCAGCCACACUGGAACUGAGACACGGUCCAGACUCCUACGGGAGGCAGCAGUGGGGAAUAUUGGACAAAGGGCGCAAGCCUGAUCCAGCCAUACCGCGUGGGUGAAGAAGGCCUUCGGGUUGUAAAGCCCUUUUGUUGGGAAAGAAAAGCAGCAGGUUAAUACCCCGCUGUUCUGACGGUACCCAAAGAAUAAGCACCGGCUAACUUCGUG
rnacentral:rRNA from 1 species